UUUUUAGAGAGAGACUAGUGAGAGAAAGAGAAGAAACCUCUGUUCUUAGGAGAAGAACUUGCUCAGAUCAGCCCUUCUUAUGCAAUCCAGAUCAAGAAUGAAGAUUGGAGGAGCUGUCAUGAGUGGCUAAGUUCUUUCUAACUUGGGAUUGAAUGUAAUUUAUCUUGAUCAAAUGUAUUCUUGGUGAUAUAUAUAUAUAAAAUUCUCUUUU
rnacentral:lncRNA from 1 species